GAUGAACGCUAGCGAUAGGCCUAACACAUGCAAGUCGAGGGGCAUCACAAAGAGUAGCAAUACUUUGGUGGCGACCGGCGGAUGGGUGAGUAACACGUAUGCAACCUACCUUCUACAUUGGGAUAACCCGUUGAAAGACGGACUAAUACCGAAUAAUACAGGGGCGCCACAUGGUGAUAUUUGUUAAAGUUUCGAGCAAUCGAUUCGGUAGAAGAUGGGCAUGCGUAUGAUUAGCUAGUUGGUGAGGUAACGGCUCACCAAGGCAACGAUCAUUAGGGGUUCUGAGAGGAAGGUCCCCCACACUGGUACUGAGACACGGACCAGACUCCUACGGGAGGCAGCAGUGAGGAAUAUGGUCAAUGGGCGCGAGCCUGAACCAGCCAAGUCGCGUGAAGGAAGACUGUCCUAUGGAUUGUAAACUUCUUUUGUACAGGAAUAAAGUGUUCUACGUGUAGGAUUUUGCAUGUACUGUACGAAUAAGGAUCGGCUAACU
rnacentral:rRNA from 1 species